GACGAACGCUGGCGGCGUGCUUAACACAUGCAAGUCGAACGGAAAGGCCCUGCUUUUGUGGGUUGCUCGAUUGGCGAACGGGUGAGUAACACGUGAGUAACCUGCCCUUGACUUUGGGAUAACUUCAGGAAACUGGGGCUAAUACCGGAUAGGAGCUCCUGCUGCAUGGUGGGGGUUGGAAAGUUUCGGCGGUUGGGGAUGGACUCGCGGCUUAUCAGCUUGUUGGUGGGGUAGUGGCUUACCAAGGCUUUGACGGGUAGCCGGCCUGAGCGGGUUACCGGCCACAUGGGGACUGAGAUACGGCCCAGACGCCUACGGGAGGCAGCAGGGGGGAAUAUUGCACAAUGGGCGGAAGCCUGAUGCAGCAACGCCGCGUGCGGGAUGACGGCCUUCGGGUUGUAAACCGCUUUCGCCUGUGACGAAGCGUGAGUGACGGUAAUGGGUAAAGAAGCACCGGCUAACUACGUG
rnacentral:rRNA from 1 species